rnacentral:lncRNA from 1 species
UUCCAGAAGGCCCGCCAGGGUCUGAUUUGCCACUGUCUGCUUCCUCGGUGCCUUUGAAUGGGACCCUUGAUCCAAGGCUUUCAGAAACCAGCCGGUGCUGAUGGGGGUCCGUGACUUGGCGGUGGCGCCUGUUUGCUCCUUCUCUGUCUCGAGCAUGGUUUUCUAUCCUGCCGGGGAGGGCGAGAGCGCUGGGCAGAGGUGGCACCUGACCCGCUAGAACUCCGAUGUCACUGCUGUGGCUGUUACUCCCCUCGGCAAGAGUCAAGGCGCACGCAGGACGUGAACCCUGCACUGGACUGACCUCAUCUUUCCGAGGCUGUGAUAUUUCAGGAGAGUCUCAUUAUUGCUGAACAACUGAGACCACCAGGAGCCAGGUCCUAAGUGCAAAGAAUGGCUACAUCUCUCCUUCUGAAUGCCACCAGAUCAUUCCAGUCGCCUGCCUUUGUGGUGUCUCCAGACAAGGGCUGACAACCAUAGACGCGUCGCAGCCCUAAGGCUACUCAGAGAGAAGAACGUCUCUGGAGAAGGCGUGGGUGACUGAUUUUCAAGAAAUUGGCAACACGGAAGCUGAUUUUAAAAUAUUCAUAAGAAGUUGGCUUUUUCAGGGAGGGUAGACCUGAAGCUUUCUUUGUACACACUGACACAAGA